UACGGAGGGUGCAAGCGUUAUCCGGAAUCACUGGGUUUAAAGGGUGCGUAGGCGGUCUGGUAAGUCAGAGGUGAAAGCCCGGCGCUUAACGUCGGAAUUGCCUUUGAUACUGUCGGACUUGAAUGAGGUUGAGGUGGGCGGAAUGUGGCAUGUAGCGGUGAAAUGCAUAGAUAUGCCAUGGAACACCAAUUGCGAAGGCAGCUCACUGGACCUGAAUUGACGCUGAGGCACGAAAGCGUGGGGAGCGAACAGG
rnacentral:rRNA from 1 species